rnacentral:rRNA from 1 species
UAGGGAAUAUUGCACAAUGGGGGAAACCCUGAUGCAGCGACGCCGCGUGAGUGAUGAAGGCCUUCGGGUCGUAAAGCUCUGUCGUAUGGGACUAACAAAAUGAAGGUACCAUGCAAGAAAGGAUCGGCUAACUUCGUGCCAGCAGCCGCGGUAAGACGAGGGAUCCUAGCGUUGUUCGGAAUCAUUGGGCGUAAAGCGGGUGUAGGCGGACUUAUAAGUCAGGUGUGAAAUCCCAGGGCUCAACCCUGGAAGUGCACUUGAUACUGCAAGUCUUGAGUGUGGUAGAGGCUAUUAGAAUUCCUGGUGUAGUGGUGAAAUACGUAGAUAUCAGGAGGAAUACCGGAGGCGAAGGCGGAUAGCUGGGCCAACACUGACGCUGAGACCCGAAAGCGUGGGGAUCAAACAGGAUUAGAUACCCUUGUAGUCCCUGAGCGGGCUGGCAAGGCGCAU